CUCCGCCAGAAGAAAGCGGUAGGAGUUCGUCCUGUGUCCAGGCGAAAUGCGAGGCGGAAUUGGAGAGACACGGGGAAGCCGCGCGGCGGCCUGGUGUGUCCCCAGGUGAAAUAUGGACCGAGCAACCGGACACGACGACCUUCUCUCUCUUCCUUUCCACCGGUUUGUCUGGCGCGCUCGCGAGUUCCGCCGCGCAGGGAGGUUUGCUGGAUCGAGUACAUCUCCUCAACUUGUCUGCUUUCCCGGUUCCCGUCCAGCAAGUCCACAGCACGCCCCAGGCGUCUCGAAGUCACCACCCCAGACAGCUGGAUGCCCGAUCAUGCGCGUGUAUCCACAUAAACGCUGCAGGCCUUUUUCUCUGCACAUCUUGAACGAGAGGUCUGAGGGCCAUUCAGUCGCGGCAGCGCAUGCCAGUCACCUGAUGUGCGACUGCAGGUCCGUGAGAGUUGCAGUCGCGCGGCAAUACCGAUCUCUCUUCCCCGCGCUUGCAGUCUGCCUCGAGGGCGUGGAACGCUGAUCAUGUGUACAGAGACAAUGUCUACUUACAAUGUGGUAGGAGAACAACACAAGGCGUAGUUGUGGUCUUUGUGUGCCGUGAACUCCGGCUUUGCACAAAAAAAGGCUGAGAGCGAGCGAAAAAGACGCUGAACAUCUGAUGAGGCGCGUCUCCUGAGGCGGCGUGCGGACCCUCGAUGACGCGUCCCGUAUCGACGAGAGCUGCCGUGAGACAAAGAAGAAGUGUCUACGCAGUCUGGUUUGUGGAUGUCCCUGACAAACGCGAGCCACGGAUUGAUUGAUCUCGCGCCCAGGGCGAGUGCCCAGACUUGAGCGCUGCAGUUUCGACAACAGGGCGCAGUAUCCCGCACUCUCGCCGUUCAAAAGGACUUUCUCUCACUGGAGGCAGCCAGCAAGAGGCGCUGCCUGGAAAGGGUUAUCUUUUGAGUACGUAGUCGCACGGGAAUCCAGUUAUAGGAUGCGGUGAAGUGGGCGGACAGGCGCAAGAGCGAGUGUUGACCGUGGCACGGGCGAGCGGAGCUGCCAAAGCUGCACGCCUUCGCAGACGCUGGAGGGACACUGGACUUCUCUGGCCAAGAGCCGAGAAAGAACGCACGGAAAAGACAAAAUAGGACCCCGCUCACCGCUGCCUCACAGCUGCGACUCCGUAGCACACCCGGCGAUGGCAACGGCACCGGGAGCACUCCGUUGGUGGGGACACGCUGCCUGCAAUAAGAAACCGCUGAGGAUCGACGAGCUGUGCAGAUCUGUUAACAACAACACUAGCACGCAGGAUGCGGACCCACGUUUCGUUCGUGUCCCCCUCCACCGGCUUCCUUCUCUUCUUCUUUUUUGUCCGGAGCGUCAGGCGUCUGCAUGGACCGCGCACCAGACGACAUGGGAUGUAGCAG
rnacentral:lncRNA from 1 species